GGUCCACCUGGAAUAACAGGACCAGCAGGGCCUAAAGGAGACAAAGGAUAUCAAGGCGUUAUGGGCAGGACUGGACGGACAGGAUAUAGAGGCCCCAUUGGUCCUCCAGGGAUGCCUGCCAUUGUUGUAUUUAAAACCUCUGAAGAAGAAUGGGAAGCUUUCAAGAAGAAGAAGAUCUAUAAAAAGCUGAUUUCUUCCUGGCCGAAACUUAAGGGGCCUCCAGGGGCCCCUGGACCUCUUGGAGAUGAAGGAUCAAUCG